rnacentral:rRNA from 1 species
AUGAACGCUAGCGGGAGGCCUAACACAUGCAAGCCGAGCGGUAGAGUCUCUUCGGAGACUUGAGAGCGGCGCACGGGUGCGGAACACGUGUGCAACCUGCCUUUAUCUGGGGGAUAGCCUUUCGAAAGGAAGAUUAAUACCCCAUAAUAUACUGGAUGGCAUCAUCUGGUAUUGAAAACUCCGGUGGAUAGAGAUGGGCACGCGCAAGAUUAGAUAGUUGGUGAGGUAACGGCUCACCAAGUCAGCGAUCUUUAGGGGGCCUGAGAGGGUGAUCCCCCACACUGGUACGAAGACGCGGACCAGACUCCUACGGGAGGCAGCAGUGAGGAAUAUUGGACAAUGGGUGAGAGCCUGAUCCAGCCAUCCCGCGUGAAGGACGACUGCCCUAUGGGUUGUAAACUUCUUUUGUAUAGGGAUAAACCUAGAUACGUGUCUCUAGCUGAAGGUACUAGACGAAUAAGCACCGGCUAACUCCGUG